rnacentral:rRNA from 1 species
UACGUAGGGGGCAAGCGUUGUCCGGAAUCAUUGGGCGUAAAGCGCGCGUAGGCGGCCCGGUAAGUCCGCUCUGAAAGUCCAGGGCUCAACCCUGGAAAGCGGGUGGAUACUGCCGGGCUAGAAUCCGGAAGAGGCGAGUGGAAUUCCCGGUGUAGCGGUGAAAAUGCGCAGAUAUCGGGAGGAACACCAAUGGCGAAGGCAGCUCGCUGGGACGUUACUGACGCUGAGACGCGAAAGCGUGGGGAGCAAACAGG